rnacentral:rRNA from 1 species
CACUAAGCUUGCUCCGAAUUCCCUAGUGAUUUCUGUUUGAUCCUGGCGGAGGCUACUGCUAUUGGGAUUCGAUUAAGCCAUGCAAGUCGAACGAAUUUAGAUUCGUGGCGUACGGCUCAGUAACACGUGGAUAACCUACCCUUAGGACCGGGAUAACCCUGGGAAACUGGGGCUAAUACUGGAUAGAUGAUUUUUCCUGGAAUGGGUUUUUGUUUAAAUGUUUUUUCGCCUAAGGAUGGGUCUGCGGCAGAUUAGGUAGUUGGUUAGGUAAUGGCUUACCAAGCCUAUGAUCUGUACGGGUUGUGAGAGCAAGAGCCCGGAGAUGGAACCUGAGACAAGGUUCCAGACCCUACGGGGUGCAGCAGGCGCGAAACCUCCGCAAUGUACGAAAGUGCGACGAGGGGAUCCCAAGUGUUAUUCUUAAUAGGAUAACUUUUCAUUAGUGUAAAAAGCUUUUAGAAUAAGAGCUGGGCAAGACCGGUGCCAGCCGCCGCGGNUACACCGGCAGCUCAAGUGGUAGCUGUUUUUAUUGGGCCUAAAGCGUUCGUAGCCGGUUUGA